GCAAGUCGAGCGGUAACAGAGAGUAGCUUGCUACUUUGCUGACGAGUGGCGGACGGGUGAGUAAUGCUUGGGAAUAUGCCAAAACGUGGGGGACAACAGUUGGAAACGACUGCUAAUACCGCAUAAUGUCUUCGGACCAAAGGGGGCUUCGGCUCUCGCCUUUAGAUUGGCCCAAGUGGGAUUAGCUAGUUGGUGAGGUAAUGGCUCACCAAGGCAACGAUCCCUAGCUGGUUUGAGAGGAUGAUC
rnacentral:rRNA from 1 species